AAGCUGCCUUUGAGCCCUCGCCCCUGUGCACGGCACUGGCACCGGGAGUCAGGCUGCAGCGCCAGAUCAAGUGCUUGGGCAUAACCGGGUCAUCUGGGCCCACAGCAUCGCCCUUUUAACCAGGAGCGCUGAGG